CGACCUGGCGAGAAGUAAACACAGAUUGGGGGCGUUUGGAGGAACAAGCUGGUCAGGAAGAGUCUUCCAGUAUCCCAUCCUGCACCACGCCGAAAGGCAGGCGCGAGCAAAAGAUUCGACGGGAGGGAGCAAGAGCGGCCGUUGCCUCAGCAACCGUUGGUUAGCAACUGGCCCAGGGAACUGAGGUUUCAAGGCAGUACGUUACUACAAUGUCAUCUCCAAAAAUAGCUUCACUCUCUUGGGGUCGUAUAAAGGUCCAAGACACUACAUAUAAGGACUGCAAGGUGUGGCCAGGAGGAAGUCGUACCUGGGACUGGAGAGAAACAGGGACUGAUCAUUACCCUGGAGUGCAGGCAGCUGACCUGGAGGAAAUCAUUAACAAAGGUAUUGAGACGUUAGUUAUUGGUCGUGGAAUGAGCGAGGCUUUACAGGUUCCCUCCAGAACGCUAGAGUAUCUUAAGAACAAGGGGGUUGAGGUGAAAGUCCUUCAAACAGAGGCAGCUGUGCGAGAGUACAACUUGUUGGCUGGUCGCGGUGCACGAGUAGGAGGCGUCUUCCACUCCACUUGCUGAAACAACAAAUCAAGCAAUGCCAGGCACCCUGACAACACUUUGACCACUGUGUGACCAUCCCUUGGUUUCACAACUUGAAAGGUGGUCUCUGUGAUUAUUUGCUUUGUGGAAUGCGGUUUGAAUUACUUAAAGAGGAGGAGAAAAGGCUUUAAUGGGAAGAAAAUCUGCCCUCUUUACCCGGUCUGGCUCUACACAUGGCUGCAGACCCACAGCAACUUGACUCGUAACCGACCUCUGAAGUAACUGAGCAAGCCCUCAGUGAACACUGCCCUUGCCAGUGACAUCCACUUUCUAUGAAAGAUCAAAGGAAAAAAAGAUUCAUCUAAAACAUUGUGAAUAAAACUGGACACAAUCAAGUGGAGAUGCAAUACAAAUAAGAAAGUGUCUGUUGCAUUUUAUGAGCCCUGUCUGAUUUUUAAUUCCAAUAACUUCAGUAGAACUCUGAUUCUUUUGAAUAGUGAUUCCAUCUCCUCCCCAUGUCCAAUUUCAACCCCAUCAUCUGGUUCUUACCAAGUUGCUGUUUGUGAUACUUUGCUGUGUUCAAAUUGGCUGCUGCAUUUCAAAAUUAAUUGACAGUAAAGCAAUUUAGGACAUCUUGAGCUAGUGAAAGGGGCUAUGUAAAUACACAUUCUUGAAAUUAAGAUCAGCAAGAUGAUUUGUUUAAUUUCAGAUAAUAGCCUGUGCCGUAACAGUCCUGGUGAUGGACUCAAGCCAGGAAAGUCCCCAUUUAAAUGAAUUAGCUGUUCAGCACAAGAUGCUUUCGUCUGUCUUCAGGAACCAAGGACUAUGGAGAGGCAGAAAAUCAAUCAGAGACUUGUCACCUGAUAGAGAUCCAGUGUUCACCUACUGGAAAGGUAUUCGUGUAUUGCAUAAGGUCAGGUCAGGACUGGACUGUAUCAUUUGCCCACAUGAUUGCUUGUCACUGAGCUAUUCACGGUUCAGGCCUUCAUCUGGGAGAGAUAAUAGAAAAUCCAUGUACCAAUUGAACUAUGUUCUAACAUAUGGCUAUAGUUUGAAGAAAAGGAUAAUAUUGUAGGAGGAAGAGGAGAAAUUGAUGGACAUGGUACAAGAGAAGUGCAGAAUUUUUCUUAAUGUCAGGAGCAGUACUUUUCUCUUUGAAUGCAUAGCCCAACCUGGUACUUCCAGCGCAGAAUGGAGGUAGUGAUGCACUGUCAGAGGUGCCAUUGUUUGGAUGAGAUAUAAGACUAAGGCUCCAUCUGCCCUUCUGGGUGGAUGUAAAGAAUCUCAUGGGAACCUUUUAGGAAAUGCAGAGUUUCCCCGAUAUACAAGCUAACAUAUCCUUUAAUAUUUUCCGGACAUUUAUGGCAUUAGUAUUUCUGGGUGCUUGGUAUGUGCAGAUUGGCUUCCACAUUUCUGGCAUGUGCUUAUGAACAAAAACUUAAUUGGCUGGAAAGUGAUUUGAAACCAGGGAGCUGGAAGUGCAAUAUCAAAUGCAGGGUCUUAUUUUCCUGAUAUGCCUUGUUUUUACUUCUUCCCUCAGAUGGUCACCUUCCCUCUGAUAAGUUUUAGUUUUAAUUUUAAUGGAGUAAUGGUCCCAGAUUCAUAAAUAUACAGCGCAAACAAGCCCAUUGACCCUCUCCCAGCUUUCUGUGGAAGAGAUACCAAGCAAUUGACUACUUGCAUCUAAUGCUUUAAGCCCUUAUUCAUACUGAUGCAUGCAAAAAUAUGUUGAUAGAAUGUUUUGUUGAGCAAGUAUAAAUGUAUUUAUGAAUUGACAGAUAAUUAAUAAAGCUAUAGU